AGAGUUUGAUCAUGGCUCAGGAUGAACGCUGGCGGCGUGCUUAACACAUGCAAGUCGAACGGAGUUUUUAACGGAAGUUUCGGAUGGAAGUUAAGAACUUAGUGGCGGACGGGUGAGUAACGCGUGGGUAACCUGCCUCAUACAGGGGGAUAACAGUUAGAAAUGACUGCUAACACCGCAUAAUAUAGUGAAACCGCAUGAUUUUGCUAUCAAAUAUUUAUAGGUAUGAGAUGGGCCCGCGUCUGAUUAGCUAGUUGGUGGGGUAAAGCCUACCAAGGCGACGAUCAGUAGCCGGCUUGAGAGAGUGACCGGCCACAUUGGGACUGAGACACGGCCCAAACUCCUACGGGAGGCAGCAGUGGGGAAUAUUGGACAAUGGGGGAAACCCUGAUCCAGCGAACCGCCGCGUGAGUGAAGAAGUAUUUCGGUAUGUAAAGCUCUAUCAGCAGGGAAGAUAAUGACAGUACCUGACUAAGAAGCCCCGGCUAACUACGUGCCAGCAGCCGC
rnacentral:rRNA from 1 species